UACGGGGGGUGCGAGCGUUGUCCGGAAUCACUGGGCGUAAAGGGCGCGUAGGUGGUUUGAUAAGGGUGUGGUGAAAGUCCGGAGCUCAACUCCGGAUCUGCCGUGCCGACUGUCAAACUCGAGGGCUGUAGAGGCAGACGGAAUUCCGGGUGUAGCGGUGGAAUGCGUAGAGAUCCGGAGGAAGACCGGUGGCGAAGGCGGUCUGCUGGGCAGUUUCUGGCACUGAGGCGCGACAGCGUGGGGAGCAAACAGG
rnacentral:rRNA from 1 species